UGUCCUCUGGGGAGCUUGGGGCCAUGUCCACACACGUUUUUAGUAUUUCCUCUGCUGUGUUUGCUUCAUUUAUUCACUAACAGUGCAGCCUGCUCAAGGAUAAAAACGUGCGUCCUUCUCCUUCACGUGGUAGACACUUUGCACGAAUAAUCACGAAUAUAGACAACUAUACACCAAUCAACACGAAACCACACUCGUGAAAGAGGUCUGUGCUAGAAGUGUUUGGCCAAAAAUUGUUGAUGACAGCUCUACCACUGAUGUUGCUAUGGAAACACCGGCAGGAAAUACUGAUGCACAGCUUAAGGCUACAGUGCUGUUUGCAUGGGUGCAUGUGUGGGGAGAGGUCUGCUGAACAUGGCAGCAAUUUCUCACCUGGAGAGCCGUGGAACACCUGGAUGACAUCAUCAUACAGGAUGAGUGUUCCUGGUCUUUGGGCCAACAGGGCACUCUGCUGGCAUGCCACGGUACAGAGCUGGUGACAUAAUCUUUCUGAGAUGCUGUGAUGAUUACCCAUGAGCCCAUGCG